UGUAGCAUAGUGGAUAAUGCGUCUGUCUCCUAUAUCUUACCUUUCAGAGUCAACAGAAGGUCGUGGGUUCGAAUCCCAUUUG
rnacentral:tRNA from 1 species